GUCGAGAAUCUUUCACAAUGGGGGCAACCCUGAUGGAGCGACGACGUGUGGAGGAUAAGGUCUUCGGAUUGUAAACUCCUGUCAUGCGUGAACAAGGUUGCUUGGUUAAUACCUGGGCAAAUUGAUGGUAACGCAAGAGGAAGAGACGGCUAACUCUGUGCCAGCAGCCGCGGUAAUACAGAGGUCUCAAGCGUUGUUCGGAAUCACUGGGCGUAAAGGGUGCGUAGGUGGCGUGGUAAGUCAGAUGUGAAAGCCCGGGGCUCAACCUCGGAACUGCAUCCGAUACUGCCAGGCUAGAGUACUGGAGAGGUGACUAGAAUUCUCGGUGUAGCAGUGAAAUGCGUAGAUAUCGAGAGGAAUACCAAAGGCGUAGGCAGGUCACUGGACAGUUACUGACACUGAGGCACGAAGGCCAGGGGAGCGAACGGGAUUAGAAACCCUGGUAGUCC
rnacentral:rRNA from 1 species